GAGUGGCGAACUGGUGAGUAACACGUGGGAAACCUGCCCAGAAGCGGGGGAUAACACCUGGAAACAGAUGCUAAUACCGCAUAACAACUUGGACCGCAUGGUCCGAGCUUGAAAGAUGGCUUCGGCUAUCACUUUUGGAUGGUCCCGCGGCGUAUUAGCUAGAUGGUGGGGUAACGGCUCACCAUGGCAAUGAUACGUAGCCGACCUGAGAGGGUAAUCGGCCACAUUGGGACUGAGACACGGCCCAAACUCCUACGGGAGGCAGCAGUAGGGAAUCUUCCACAAUGGACGAAAGUCUGAUGGAGCAACGCCGCGUGAGUGAAGAAGGGUUUCGGCUCGUAAAACUCUGUUGUUAAAGAAGAACAUAUCUGAGAGUAACUGUUCAGGUAUUGACGGUAUUUAACCAGAAAGCCACGGCUAACUACGUGCCAGCAGCCGCGGUAAUACGUAGGUGGCAAGCGUUGUCCGGAUUUAUUGGGCGUAAAGCGAGCGCAGGCGGUUUUUUAAGUCUGAUGUGAAAGCCUUCGGCUCAACCGAAGAAGUGCAUCGGAAACUGGGAAACUUGAGUGCAGAAGAGGACAGUGGAACUCCAUGUGUAGCGGUGAAAUGCGUAGAUAUAUGGAAGAACACCAGUGGCGAAGGCGGCUGUCUGGUCUGUAACUGACGCUGAGGCUCGAAAGUAUGGGUAGCAAACAGGAUUAGAUACCCUGGUAGUCCAUACCGUAAACGAUGAAUGCUAAGUGUUGGAGGGUUUCCGCCCUUCAGUGCUGCAGCUAACGCAUUAAGCAUUCCGCCUGGGGAGUACGGCCGCAAGGCUGAAACUCAAAGGAAUUGACGGGGGCCCGCACAAGCGGUGGAGCAUGUGGUUUAAUUCGAAGCUACGCGAAGAACCUUACCAGGUCUUGACAUACUAUGCAAAUCUAAGAGAUUAGACGUUCCCUUCGGGGACAUGGAUACAGGUGGUGCAUGGUUGUCGUCAGCUCGUGUCGUGAGAUGUUGGGUUAAGUCCCGCAACGAGCGCAACCCUUAUUAUCAGUUGCCAGCAUUAAGUUGGGCACUCUGGUGAGACUGCCGGUGACAAACCGGAGGAAGGUGGGGAUGACGUCAAAUCAUCAUGCCCCUUAUGACCUGGGCUACACACGUGCUACAAUGGAUGGUACAACGAGUUGCGAACUCGCGAGAGUAAGCUAAUCUCUUAAAGCCAUUCUCAGUUCGGAUUGUAGGCUGCAACUCGCCUACAUGAAGUCGGAAUCGCUAGUAAUCGCGGAUCAGCAUGCCGCGGUGAAUACGUUCCCGGGCCUUGUACACACCGCCCGUCACACCAUGAGAGUUUGUAACACCCAAAGUCGGUGGGGUAACCUUUUAGGAACCAGCCGCCUAAGGUG
rnacentral:rRNA from 5 species